AGUGAACGCUGGCGGUAGGCCUAACACAUGCAAGUCGAACGGGAGCACAGUAAGAGCUUGCUCUUACGGGUGGCGAGUGGCGGACGGGUGAGGAAUAUAUCGGAAUAUACUGUUUAAUGGGGGAUAACGUAGGGAAACUUACGCUAAUACCGCAUACGACCUACGGGUGAAAGCAGGGGAUCUUCGGACCUUGCGCGAUUGAAUUAGCCGAUGUCGGAUUAGCUAGUUGGCGGGGUAAAGGCCCACCAAGGCGACGAUCCGUAGCUGGUCUGAGAGGAUGAUCCGCCACACUGGCACUGAGACACGGUCCAGACUCCUACGGGAGGCAGCAGUGGGGACUAUUGGACAAUGGGCGCGAGCCUGAUCCAGCAAUACCGCGUGGGUGCAGAAGGACUUCGGGUUGUAGAGCCCUUUUGUCGGGAAAGAAAAGAAGCAGUUUAAUCCCCCGCUGUUCUGACGGUACCCAAAGAAUAAGCACCGGCUAACUUCGUG
rnacentral:rRNA from 1 species